rnacentral:tRNA from 1 species
UGCCCCAUGCUGGAAUCGAACCAGCGACCUUCUGUUUACUAGACAGACGCUCUGCCCCUGAGCCAAUGAGGC